rnacentral:sRNA from 1 species
UGUUCACUACAAUAGUUCUUUAAACCUAUUCACGCAAACAUAGCUAAACAUAUGUGAACAUACCAUAUCCCUUGAAACCUCCCAUGGGGCACCUAUUAUAACUUCAUCAACAUAGCGACAUGCAAGUACACUGAGAGUACGCUCAUGGAGGUGCAUGAUAGGACGAUACCCUCUUCUAUCCCUGGACAUUUAAUUUGCAUAAGCAUCUUAUAUGAACUUACAAAAGAGUCACAUAACAUGAAUUGGUCUCAAAUGUAUUUUACGUUCGCUUAUUAUUAACUAGUUUCCGAUACCAAAUAAUGAGAAAAAUCAGAGUUCCUUAAAAUUUCAUACCUGUCCAUUUGAAAACUGCAUUAUCCGGCGAGAUGUUGGAAGAAAAUUGGAUAGCUGACUUUUCACUUUAUCACAUAUCACAAUAGACUGAGAAUAUAUGACAUUGAUGGCCACCAAGAGAAUUAAAUCCCAAAAGAAUAGUGUCGAUACUGAACCAUGUGGUCAUCUUACCGACUAUAUCAGUGCUUGAGACACCUUCAGUGCGUUUGAUUUGCUUGUAGCGUCCAACCUUCUUUGCCAACGCAUAAGCAUCCGUUCCAUCAGGUAGAAGACAAGGAUCAUCUCCAUGUAUAAUGUAAUCAAUGUUAUAUUUAUUGAAGAGGGUAUUCAUAAAUUCUUCCGUGAUCUCAUAGGGCGCGUUGGGAAUGACCUCGUCCACCCACUUCAAUCCACUAACAAUACCUCUCUUCCAUUGAAAGCACAGGUGGACCCUUGUUCGCCACAAUCUCCUCAUCACUAACAACUCCCACUACAAGUUGAUCUCCCAACAACUUGGCCUGCCGUAAUGCAUUUGCAUGGCCAUAGUGCAUGAGGUCAAAGCAUCCAUCCAUGUACACUCUCACAGG